rnacentral:rRNA from 1 species
UUGAAGAGUUUGAUCAUGGCUCAGAUUGAACGCUGGCGGCAGGCCUAACACAUGCAAGUCGAGCGGUAGCACAGAGAGCUUGCUCUCGGGUGACGAGCGGCGGACGGGUGAGUAAUGUCUGGGAAACUGCCUGAUGGAGGGGGAUAACUACUGGAAACGGUAGCUAAUACCGCAUAAUGUCGCAAGACCAAAGUGGGGGACCUUCGGGCCUCAUGCCAUCAGAUGUGCCCAGAUGGGAUUAGCUAGUAGGUGGGGUAACGGCUCACCUAGGCGACGAUCCCUAGCUGGUCUGAGAGGAUGACCAGCCACACUGGAACUGAGACACGGUCCAGACUCCUACGGGAGGCAGCAGUGGGGAAUAUUGCACAAUGGGCGCAAGCCUGAUGCAGCCAUGCCGCGUGUGUGAAGAAGGCCUUCGGGUUGUAAAGCACUUUCAGCGGGGAGGAAGGCGAUAAGGUUAAUAACCUUGUCGAUUGACGUUACCCGCAGAAGAAGCACCGGCUAACUCCGUGCCAGCAGCCGCGGUAAUACGGAGGGUGCAAGCGUUAAUCGGAAUUACUGGGCGUAAAGCGCACGCAGGCGGUCUGUCAAGUCGGAUGUGAAAUCCCCGGGCUUAACCUGGGAACUGCAUUCGAAACUGGCAGGCUAGAGUCUUGUAGAGGGGGGUAGAAUUCCAGGUGUAGCGGUGAAAUGCGUAGAGAUCUGGAGGAAUACCGGUGGCGAAGGCGGCCCCCUGGACAAAGACUGACGCUCAGGUGCGAAAGCGUGGGGAGCAAACAGGAUUAGAUACCCUGGUAGUCCACGCCGUAAACGAUGUCGAUUUGGAGGUUGUGCCCUUGAGGCGUGGCUUCCGGAGCUAACGCGUUAAAUCGACCGCCCGGGAGUACGGCCGCAAGGUUAAAACUCAAAUGAAUUGACGGGGCCCGCACAAGCGGUGGAGCAUGUGGUUUAAUUCGAUGCAACGCGAAGAACCUUACCUGGUCUUGACAUCCACAGAACUUUCCAGAGAUGGAUUGGUGCCUUCGGGAACUGUGAGACAGGUGCUGCAUGGCUGUCGUCAGCUCGUGUUGUGAAAUGUUGGGUUAAGUCCCGCAACGAGCGCAACCCUUAUCCUUUGUUGCCAGCGGUUAGGCCGGGAACUCAAAGGAGACUGCCAGUGAUAAACUGGAGGAAGGUGGGGAUGACGUCAAGUCAUCAUGGCCCUUACGACCAGGGCUACACACGUGCUACAAUGGCAUAUACAAAGAGAAGCGACCUCGCGAGAGCAAGCGGACCUCAUAAAGUAUGUCGUAGUCCGGAUUGGAGUCUGCAACUCGACUCCAUGAAGUCGGAAUCGCUAGUAAUCGUAGAUCAGAAUGCUACGGUGAAUACGUUCCCGGGCCUUGUACACACCGCCCGUCACACCAUGGGAGUGGGUUGCAAAAGUAGGUAGCUUAACCUUCGGGAGGGCGCUUACCACUUUGUGAUUCAUGACUGGGGUGAAGUCGUAACAAGGUAACCGUAGGGGAACCUGCGGUUGGAUCACCUCCUU